GUGGGGAAUAUUGGACAAUGGGCGAAAGCCUGAUCCAGCAAUGCCGCGUGAGUGAUGAAGGCCCUAGGGUUGUAAAGCUCUUUUACCCGGGAUGAUAAUGACAGUACCGGGAGAAUAAGCUCCGGCUAACUCCGUGCCAGCAGCCGCGGUAAUACGGAGGGAGCUAGCGUUGUUCGGAAUUACUGGGCGUAAAUCGCGCGUAGGCGGUUUUUUAAGUCAGAGGUGAAAGCCCGGGGCUCAACCCCGGAAUUGCCUUUGAAACUGGAAAACUUAAAUCUUGGAGAGGUAAGUGGAAUUCCGAGUGUAGAGGUGAAAUUCGUAGAUAUUCGGAAGAACACCAGUGGCGAAGGCGACUGACUAGACAAAUAUUGACGCUGGGGUGCGAAAGCGUGGGGCGCAAACAGGAUUAGAUACCCCUGUAGUCC
rnacentral:rRNA from 1 species